rnacentral:rRNA from 1 species
UACGAAGGGGGCGAGCGUUGUUCGGAAUUACUGGGCGUAAAGGGAGCGUAGGCGGACAGUUAAGUCAGAGGUGAAAGCCCAGGGCUCAACCCUGGAAUUGCCUUUGAUACUGAUUGUCUUGAGUAUGGGAGAGGUGUGCGGAACUCCGAGUGUAGAGGUGAAAUUCGUAGAUAUUCGGAAGAACACCAGUGGCGAAGGCGGCACACUGGCCCAUUACUGACGCUGAGGCUCGAAAGCGUGGGGAGCAAACAGG